rnacentral:rRNA from 1 species
GACGAACGCUGGCGGCGUGCUUAACGCAUGCAAGUCGAGCGAGGCCCAUCCUUCGGGGUGGUGCCCUAGCGGCGAACGGGUGAGUAACACGUGGGCAACCUGCCCUCAGCUCUGGGAUAACUCCAAGAAAUUGGUGCUAAUACCGGAUGUGACCGCUGACCGCAUGGUCUGGUGGUGGAAAGAUUCAUCGGCUGAGGAUGGGCCCGCGGCCUAUCAGCUUGUUGGUGGGGUAAUGGCCCACCAAGGCGACGACGGGUAGCCGGCCUGAGAGGGUGACCGGCCACACUGGGACUGAGACACGGCCCAGACUCCUACGGGAGGCAGCAGUGGGGAAUAUUGCGCAAUGGGCGAAAGCCUGACGCAGCGACGCCGCGUGAGGGAUGACGGCCUUCGGGUUGUAAACCUCUUUCAGUAGGGACGAAGCGAAAGUGACGGUACCUACAGAAGAAGCACCGGCCAACUACGUG